AUACGGAGGAUCCGAGCGUUAUCCGGAUUUAUUGGGUUUAAAGGGAGCGUAGGUGGAUUGUUAAGUCAGUUGUGAAAGUUUGCGGCUCAACCGUAAAAUUGCAGUUGAAACUGGCAGUCUUGAGUACAGUAGAGGUGGGCGGAAUUCGUGGUGUAGCGGUGAAAUGCUUAGAUAUCACGAAGAACUCCGAUUGCGAAGGCAGCUCACUAGACUGUUACUGACACUGAUGCUCGAAAGUGUGGGUAUCAAACAGGAUUAGAUACCCUGGUAGUCCACACAGUAAACGAUGAAUACUCGCUGUUUGCGAUAUACAGUAAGCGGCCAAGCGAAAGCAUUAAGUAUUCCACCUGGGGAGUACGCCGGCAACGGUGAAACUCAAAUGAAUUGGCGGGG
rnacentral:rRNA from 1 species